CCUUCUCACAGACGGGUUUCCGGGCGGCUCUUUAACAUCCCCAUUCAUUAGCACGCUAAUCAAGGCUGUAAUCCCGGCGAAGAGGUGCCCGUGCGUUUGUGCUGCGGCUCAAACCGCCUCCCGAGCGCGCACCUUAGCGCGGAGCCGCGCAGCGCCCGCUCCCCCCUCCGACGGCCGCCUCCACCGGGAGCCUAUUUUCUGACAUUACCGUAGGCUCCGGGUAAGAAAACUAACAAACCCUUCUAAUACAGUUUAAAACACUUUGAUGUCUUGCCAAGAAACACACUUCCUUCAAGAGACAAGUCAACAUUUGUUUUUCACAUUAAAUGGCGUUUAGUUGCCACUGAAAAAAUGAUGCUGAAGGACCACUUUUUAAUUCGAUGUAUAACAACCGCGGGGGUCUAAGAGAAAAUAACGGCGAAAGCUAUAGACACAAAUAACUAAAUUACCAAAACGUUAGUAUAUCUCCUAGGUUCAUUAAUAUGUAACAGACUCCCCAGUUAAUCUCCAAAAGCCAGUGUUCCCCCUCUAAAAUAGCACUCUGGGACGAAUUGUACAGGAGAUCAAUCACUGCUAAUGCAGUAAGGUUUACUGCAAGGGGGGAAAAAGCUAUUUACACCUUCAAAUAGAAGCUUUUGAGAUUUAAGAGUAAGGGUCAUACAUCACCAAGAAUAAAUGAUUAUGAAUUGGUAAACGCGCCCUCCAGCCAUUAGCUAUGCGACGCGAUUUAUCAUUUCUGGGUGUUUUUCUUUUUAAAAUCAUCUGGCUGUUUGAAAAGAAAAGCAUGACGGAGGGAAAAAAAAAAAACCCCACCGCGGGAAAGUUUGUUUUUGCAUAUACUAUAAGUCAUCAAAACACGGCUAUUCAGAAAUAAACGGGGUCACUUAUGAAGCGCUUAACGAGGGACAAUAAAGUCCCUCCAUUGUACACUUUUAUGACUGAGCGAUCGGUGGGCUCCUCCGAGCCGCGCCUGCGGCCGCGCCUGCCUUUUUUCCCUGCCUUUUCGUUGGAAGUUACAAAGCCGCGAGUGGGCUAAGAAACCAUUCACGCCCUAAAAAUGAAUCUUGCCGUCGUUCCGUCGCCUGACAGAUACUGAACUUCGGCUACGUGGGACAUUUCUCCAGUGCUCAGCAAUCGCCGGUUGUUAGCCAAGAUGCUGGCAAGCAGCGGGGGUUGGGGGGGGGAGGGGGGCUGCCCAGAUGCUGGGGGACAGUGGACACCCCUUCUUUCUGACUCCCUGUUAGAAAAGAGCUGAGGGCCGCUUUGGGUGGGAAACCUUACGACUCAGGUCCUUGGAAGCUCGCUUAGCCCCCAGGCGAUAUGUGGAGAGCUUCUUCGCUUGUGUGCCUGUCGUUGGUUUUUGGGUUUUUGUUUUGUUUUGUUUUGUUUUUUUAAACUGAAAUUGGUUCGCGAUGCCAAGUAAACCUUUUUCCACUUAGCCUGUGCUCAGGGCGGUGGGAAUGUUGCUCAUCCAAUUAAACAAUCUAUAAUAAAACGCAUACUUCAGAGCUGGGAAAGAAUGGCAGAGUGCUGUCGGAGGGCGGGGGCCGGCUGGAGGCACCGCUCCCCGCUGCCGGGGGCUCGGCCUGGCACCUUCCGUCGGGGGGAACCGACGGGGCGGGCUGGGGGGUGGCGUCACGAAGGGGUUUUGGGGGGGAUCCACCUGCCGCUUCCUCGGAUCCUCCGUAAAUAACCGACCGCAAGGCAAGGGGAGAGGUGCUGGGGCUGGGCAGGGAAGACAGCGAGCUGGACAUCUCAAGAGGGGGGACAUCUCUGGAGGAGGAACUCAGGAACGCUCAGAUCGGGGCAGCUCUGUCCCUGCAGGCCUCUAGUGGAGGCGUGUGAGGGACAUCCGCUCAAGAAGGGCCUGCGGGGAAAAUGUAAAGUCCCCUAAAUGGUGACAUCCCGCCGUCCCAGUACGUCAGGCUUCAAUUGUGACAAGUGCCUGUUUUCUUCGGGACGCCCACUGGAAGGUCCACUUCUUGGUCCACCAAAGAGCACCGUGAGAUGUUUCCCUCAGGAAUCCAUUCGUCCUCUCCUCCGAACCGCUCUCCUCUCUCCCUCAGAGGUCUCCUCUCUAAGAGCCCCAUUUCAGAACGUGGAGAAAAGAAAAAAUAAAGAUAAAAAAAAUGGGCGAUCUAGUUCUCCGCAAUAGAUGAGAUUGUCUCCUUGAAUAUCUAAUGCUGCAAUUCCACUUCGAAGUACUAUACUCAUUUCCUCUUUAUUACAUCAUUCAGCAUUUUAUUUCUAUGAUUUUAUGUUUUACUGCUGUUGCUUUUUUUCCCCGCGAAAGCCUAUAUUUUCGGGGUUAUAGAAAGUCUCUGAAGAUCCAUAAGAUUAUUAUUUAUCUGACUUUGUGCGUCUCCGAGUGCUGUAUACAUUAUAUAAUUGCUUUAAAAUGUUUUCAUAAAUUACAUUCAGAAAUGUGUCAUAGUAAAUUACCUUUGUAAUAAAAUGUAAAAAAUGCAAAUGGCUGUUGUCUUUAUUACGUUUUAAACCAUUGGUUUAUCUGCACUAUUUCACUUGUCAGUCGCACAAUAUGUUGUAUAAAGGGAAAGCACAGUUUGAUAACAGAUAGAUGGAACCUCGUGUGUAAUCUAGCAGGCACGUACAGUUUGGGUCAUUUCCUUAUCUCCCGCAGAAAAGACAUUAUCCCCCUCAUAUUUACAUACUUUUCAAUAUUUGUCAAACAAUCAUAAAUUAUAAAUUAAUGAAAUGUUCGACAGUCUUCAGAGAUCAGACUAAUGAAGACAUUUACCUUUUUGGUGAUUUGGAGUCUCAUCUUUGUAAGUUUAAUGACAUUUAGACUCUCACGGUUUAUUAGGCUUUAUUAGAUUUGUCCUUCACUCCUGCUGUCAUUCAGAUGUCUCUGCAUAAACAUCACCUGCUUCAGGUACGGGAACAAAUCGACUUCUUCCAGGAAGGCUCCGAAGCGCCGCCGGCCCUGGAUGGGGGCUCCGGGAGGCACGGGAGCUCUGCUCACCGCCCCGGCCGGUGCUGCCAGCCCG
ensembl:lncRNA